UGGCGACCGGGUGAGUAACACGUAGGUGACCAACCACAGAGUGGGGAACAACAGCCCGAAAGGGUUGCUAAUACCGCAUACGGUACACCCGUCGCAGGGUGUAAGAAAGCAGCAAUGCGCUGUGUGGCGGGCCUGCGGCCCAUCAGGUAGUUGGCGGGGUAGUAGCCCACCAAGCCUGUGACGGGUAGGGGGUGUGAGAGCAUGACCCCCCACACUGGCACUGAAAACGGGCCAG
rnacentral:rRNA from 1 species